rnacentral:rRNA from 1 species
CAGGUCAGGCGGGGCCACCCGCUGAGUUUAAGCAUAUCAAUAAGCGGAGGAGAAAAACUUACAAGGAUUCCCCUAGUAACG